rnacentral:rRNA from 1 species
AUUGAACGCUGGCGGCAGGCCUAACACAUGCAAGUCGAACGAGUGGCGGACGGGUGAGUAAUGUCAGGGAAACUGCCUGAUGGAGGGGGAUAACUACUGGAAACGGUAGCUAAUACCGCAUACCAUCGGAUGUGCCCAGAUGGGAGUCGCUAGUUGGUGGGGUAACGGCUCACCAAGGCGACGAUCCCUAGCUGGUCUGAGAGGAAGACCAGCCACACUGGAUCUGUGACACGUUCCAGACUCCUACGUGUGGCAGCAGUGGGGAAGAUUGCAAGAUGGGCGCAAGCCUGAUGCAGCCAUGCCGCGUGUAUGAAGAAGGCCUUCGGGUUGUAAAGUACUUUCAGCGGGGAGGCGUUACCCGCAGAAGAAGCACCGGCUAACUCCGUGCCAGCAGCCGCGGUAAUAC